rnacentral:rRNA from 1 species
GAGUUUGAUCCUGGCUCAGGAUGAACGCUGGCGGCGUGCUUAACACAUGCAAGUCGAACGAAGCACUGGAGUGGAAUCCCUUCGGGGAGGAAGCACCUUUGACUGAGUGGCGGACGGGUGAGUAACGCGUGGGUAACCUGCCCCAUACAGGGGGAUAACAGCCGGAAACGGCUGCUAAUACCGCAUAUACAUGCGGGGGCGCAUGCCCCUGCAUGGAAAGCUUUGGCGGUAUGGGAUGGGCCCGCGUCUGAUUAGGCAGUUGGCGGGGUAACGGCCCACCAAACCAACGAUCAGUAGCCGGCCUGAGAGGGCGACCGGCCACAUUGGGACUGAGACACGGCCCAAACUCCUACGGGAGGCAGCAGUGGGGAAUAUUGCACAAUGGGGGAAACCCUGAUGCAGCGACGCCGCGUGGGUGAAGAAGUAUUUCGGUAUGUAAAGCCCUAUCAGCAGGGAAGAAGAAUGACGGUACCUGACUAAGAAGCACCGGCUAAAUACGUGCCAGCAGCCGCGGUAAUACGUAUGGUGCAAGCGUUAUCCGGAUUUACUGGGUGUAAAGGGAGCGCAGGCGGCACGCUAAGCCUGAUGUGAAAACCCGCGGCCCAACCGCGGGAGUGCAUUGGGAACUGGCGAGCUAGAGUACC